rnacentral:rRNA from 1 species
GACGAACGCUGGCGGCGUGCCUAAUACAUGCAAGUAGGACGCAGUUGCGAACGGGAGAGUAACGCGUAGGUAACUGACUAUUAGAGGGGGAUAACUAUUGGAAACGAUAGCUAAUACCGCAUACUCGUAGAUGGACCUGCGUUGUAUUAGCUAGUAGGUAGGGUAAUGGCCUACCUAGGCGACGCUACAUAACCGACCAGCUUGGGUGAUCGGCCACACUGGGACUGAUGCACGGCCCAGACUCCUACGGGAGGCCGCAGUAGGGAUUCUGCGGCAAUUGGGGGAACCCUGACCAAGCGACGCCGCGUGAGGGAAGAAGGGUUUCGGAUCGUAAAGCGCUGUUGUUAAGGAAGCGGUACUUAACCAGAAAGGGACGGCUAACUACGUGCCAGCAGCCGCGGUAAUUC